rnacentral:rRNA from 1 species
UACGGGGGGGGGCAAGCGUUGUUCGGAAUUACUGGGCGUAAAGGGCUCGUAGGCGGCCAACUAAGUCAUACGUGAAAUCCCUCGGCUUAACCGGGGAACUGCGUCUGAUACUGGAUGGCUUGAGUUCGGGAGAGGGAUGCGGAAUUCCAGGUGUAGCGGUGAAAUGCGUAGAUAUCUGGAGGAACACCGGUGGCGAAGGCGGCAUCCUGGACCGAUACUGACGCUGAGACGCGAAAGCGUGGGGAGCAAACAGG